rnacentral:rRNA from 1 species
UACGGAGGGUGCAAGCGUUAAUCGGAAUUACUGGGCGUAAAGCGCACGUAGGUGGUUUGUUAAGUUGGAUGUGAAAGCCCCGGGCUCAACCUGGGAACUGCAUCCAAAACUGGCAAACUAGAGUACGGUAGAGGUGAGUGGAAUUUCCUGUGUAGCGGUGAAAUGCGUAGAGAUGGGAAGGAACAUCAGUGGCGAAGGCGACUCACUGGACUGAUACUGACACUGAGGUGCGAAAGCGUGGGUAGCAAACAGG